UGAACACCCAGUCACCAACUACAGCCCUGCCCUGCCCCUCCUCCCACUGGCCUGCUCAUCUUCCCGCACUGCAAACCUGGCCGCCUUUAGCCUCCCUCCCUUAGCGUAGUGUCCCAAGGUCACCUAGCCUGCUUUUUGCCUGUAGGAUAUGGGUCCCCUUCUCAAAGCCCGCCCUGACUUACUUCCUCAUUUGCAUAGUCCUUCAGCUCUAUCCUGUCGCCACUCCACCCACCCCAGACAACCACCUGUAAGAAACCAGGUUUGAAAUUCAAGAGACCAGGUUUCCAAGCUCCCAGCUGCUUCCCUGUGGGCCUCGGUGCCUCGGCUGUUAUGUGACGGGCAUAGACAUUGACUAAGGCCAAACAUUUCAUGAUUUGGACGAGAAAGGAGGGAAGGAGAUCCAGAAAUACGCAAGAGAGGUGAUAAGCAGAGACAGAGGAUAAAAGGAUAAGAGUAGAGAGGAGUUGGGUGGUUUGGUGGGGAAGAAGGGUUGAUUUUUUUUUUUUAAUAGAGACAGGGUCUUACUAUGUUGCCCAGGCUGGUAUUGACCUCCUGGCCUCAAACGAUCCUCCUGCCUUGGCCUCCCAAAGUGCUGGGAUUACAAGCAUAAGCCACUGCACCCGGCCGAGAGGGGUUUGGAAUGAAGGCUGAGGUGGGCAGAUUGCUUGAUCUCAGGAAUUCGAGACCAGCCUGGGCAACAUGGUGAAACCCUGUCUCUA
rnacentral:lncRNA from 10 species